CAGCAGUAGCCGCGGUAAUACAGAGGGUGCGAGCGUUAAUCGGAUUUACUGGGCGUAAAGCGUGCGUAGGCGGCUUUUUAAGUCGGAUGUGAAAUCCCUGAGCUUAACUUAGGAAUUGCAUUCGAUACUGGGAAGCUAGAGUAUGGGAGAGGAUGGUAGAAUUCCAGGUGUAGCGGUGAAAUGCGUAGAGAUCUGGAGGAAUACCGAUGGCGAAGGCAGCCAUCUGGCCUAAUACUGACGCUGAGGUACGAAAGCAUGGGGAGCAAACAGGAUUAGAUACCCCUGUAGUCCCUGUCUCUUAUAA
rnacentral:rRNA from 1 species